rnacentral:tRNA from 2 species
AUGCAUGGGGAAAGGCCGGGAUAGCUCAGCUGGUAAAGCAAAGGACUGAAAAUCCUCG